GCCGCUUUAGCUCAGUUGGUAGAGCACUUGAUUUGUAAUCAUGAGGUCGUCCGUUCGAUUCGGACAAGCGGCACCA
rnacentral:tRNA from 1 species